rnacentral:rRNA from 1 species
GAUGAACGCUGGCGGCGUGCCUAAUACAUGCAAGUCGAGCGAACAGACGAGGAGCUUGCUCCUCUGACGUUAGCGGCGGACGGGUGAGUAACACGUGGAUAACCUACCUAUAAGACUGGGAUAACUUCGGGAAACCGGAGCUAAUACCGGAUAAUAUAUUGAACCGCAUGGUUCAAUAGUGAAAGACGGUUUUGCUGUCACUUAUAGAUGGAUCCGCGCCGCAUUAGCUAGUUGGUAAGGUAACGGCUUACCAAGGCAACGAUGCGUAGCCGACCUGAGAGGGUGAUCGGCCACACUGGAACUGAGACACGGUCCAGACUCCUACGGGAGGCAGCAGUAGGGAAUCUUCCGCAAUGGGCGAAAGCCUGACGGAGCAACGCCGCGUGAGUGAUGAAGGUCUUCGGAUCGUAAAACUCUGUUAUUAGGGAAGAACAAAUGUGUAAGUAACUAUGCACGUCUUGACGGUACCUAAUCAGAAAGCCACGGCUAACAACGUG